UUUCUUGGACUUGUUUCUCAUCUACCAA
rnacentral:piRNA from 1 species